rnacentral:rRNA from 1 species
ACUCCUACGGGAGGCAGCAGUGGGGAAUAUUGGACAAUGGGCGAAAGCCUGAUCCAGCAAUGCCGCGUGCAGGAUGAAGGCCCUCGGGUUGUAAACUGCUUUUGUACGGAACGAAAAGCCUGGGGCUAAUAUCCCCGGGUCAUGACGGUACCGUAAGAAUAAGCACCGGCUAACUACGUGCCAGCAGCCGCGGUAAU